UGUGUAUAAGAAAUCCAUUUC
rnacentral:piRNA from 1 species